UGGCUCAGUUGGCAGAGCAUGGUGUUUGCAACGCCAGGGUUGUGGGUUCGAUUCCCAU
rfam:Salmo salar isolate Sally breed double haploid chromosome ssa07, whole genome shotgun sequence.